UAAGGCUAUAAAUACCCAUGAAUUUAGCAUAUGAACAUCAUCUCCUUCUUCCCCCACUCUCUGCCCCUUGUUUUGGUCUUGGAAUUUAUUGGGCAAGGAUAGGGUAAUCUGCAUCCUGAGGUUUAGAUAUUGUUCUUGUCUAGCCCUCGGGUUGCAGAUUACCUCUUCCUUGUGGGCAAUGUUGCAUUGGACAAUCAGAUUAUGAGCUCCCCUGCCUGCAAGGUAAAGUUAUACAGAAGUGGUAGCAGAAAUGUGUUUGUGUAAAGAUUUAAGCUUUGUGGGGAAGCCCUCCAAGGGUGUGUUGAAGGCUUUUGAAGCAGUCUGUUGCGUCUUUAAAGAUGAGGAACUCCAUGGUAUCCACAUGGAAGAAGAUGAAGGUACCACAUACAUGGGUAAUGCAGCCUCCAAACGCUUUGCCCACCACACACUGCCAUGCCGGCCCAUAAGCUUCGUCCAACCUCUAAUUAUCAAAACCUCAAAGUCAUUAACAUCAUCCACACACAAGGUGUUGAGUGGUGAAAUUUAAAGCAAUAUAUGAACCUGUUUGAUGAAA